AACAAAUAACAUUUCACUGUUUUGAUACAACUCUCAUUCAACAUUUCAUUAUUUAUAAAUAUAUUAUACUUAGACCAAACUAAUUAUAAUAUUUGAAAAUUGCCAAAGCAAUUAAAUAUACACAAUAAGUUGGAGUUUUAAGUCCAAAACUAGUGUGGAUUGUAUUACAUUUGCAAUUUCACAUAGCCGUUAUUUGUUUCUAUUCACACUGCAAGAUGAUAUAGGCAGUGGGAAAAAACCUGUUCACAAAGAUU
rnacentral:lncRNA from 1 species